rnacentral:rRNA from 1 species
AUUGAACGCUGGCGGCAUGCCUUACACAUGCAAGUCGAACGGCAGCACGGGAGCUUGCUCCUGGUGGCGAGUGGCGAACGGGUGAGUAAUGCAUCGGAACGUGCCCUGAAGUGGGGGAUAACGUAGCGAAAGUUACGCUAAUACCGCAUAUUCUGUGAGCAGGAAAGCAGGGGAUCUUCGGACCUUGCGCUUUUGGAGCGGCCGAUGUCGGAUUAGCUAGUUGGUGGGGUAAAGGCCCACCAAGGCGACGAUCCGUAGCGGGUCUGAGAGGAUGAUCCGCCACACUGGAACUGAGACACGGUCCAGACUCCUACGGGAGGCAGCAGUGGGGAAUUUUGGACAAU